CUUCAUGGUAAGAACGAAGAACAUUAUUUAGGUGACUCCAGAGAUGAAGUGUUCUCCUGGCUUUGUGACUGUGGUACUCUUAAUGCUUGGACAAAGCCGUGGAGACUCAGUGACUCAGACAGAGGGCCAAGUGACCCUCUCAGAAAAUGCUUUCCUGACUAUAAAUUGUACUUAUUCAGCAUCAGGAUACACUGUCCUUUUCUGGUAUGUCCAGUAUCCAGGAGAAAAUCUAGAGCUCCUCCUGAAAGCCUUGAAGGACAAGGAGAAAGGAAGCAACAAAGGAUUUGAAGCCACCUACGAUGGCAAAUCGAAAUCCUUUCACUUGGAGAAACGCUCAGUGCAAGCCUCAGAUUCAGCUGUGUACUACUGUGCCCUGAGGGACACAGUGAUAGGGACUCAAAGCUAUCCUAAAGGGCAGAAAGCUGAAAACAGAAAGCAAAACAGGAAGAACCUAUCAGCAGACCGUGCCAUCAAUAAUUUAGAAAAUGAGCUGUAUAUGGAUGGGGUGAACUUGUAUGAGAGACUAAAUAAGGAGAAACUCAGUCCUGGUGUAGAAGCACCUCAGUGUGUGCUGUGCCCUCCAGAAGGGGUUGGGGAAAAGGAGCACCACGUAUUUUUAGAUAAUUGA